CCUCAUAUCGCGUCAUACCACAUUAACUUAUAUAAGUGCCCACAGUCAAGAUUAAGUKAUCUAAGGGUGCACCACGGAUUCUAAGACAAACUACUCCUUAACUUCUGAAUAUUGCACUAUAGAUACUGGAUACKUAGAACUUGUAUGUAGCUCUAGUCAUAUAUGUAUUACGGAAUUAUAAAAUCAACCAAUAAGACAUUUUAGAAUCAACAGAAUUUCUAUUUCACAAUAAUGGAUCAUAAUUCUCAAAGAAUACAUAAGAUGASUGUAUACCAAGUUACAUCAACAGCGCUCCUUUUAAUGGUGGUCAUUACAAUGAUUCCUACAUCCGCAACCAAUACAACAGUCACUGACGCAUCAACAACAACUGUUAAAGCCGCAGCCACUACAACCAUCACUGAGUCAUCAAAAACAACUGGUGAACCAAAUACAACCGUCAUUGACGCAUCGACAAAAACUGGUGAACCGCUACCACCGUCACUGAUUCACCACCAACAACUGGUGAACCCACUACAACCACCAUUCAAUCAACAAAAACAACUAAAACCACCACUGAAUCAACAAAAACAACUGGUGAACCAACUAAAACCACCACUGGAAUCAUCAAAAUACAACUGGUGAACCAACUAAAACCACCACUGAAUCAACAAGAACAACUUAGUGAACC